rnacentral:RNase_P_RNA from 2 species
UCCCCACCAAUGCUGCGUUUCUUUGCUACACACGGCGAGCCUCACGGCUCGUCCUUGCGACUCUGGGUCCUGCCCAGGGCCACAAGACCCCUUGCAAAUGAGAAAUUCGGAGGAAUCUUCAAACUCGAACCCGCGCCGUCGUUCGUUUUCGCGCGUCGGCGUCGGUCCUGCCCGUGAGGGCCUGGUGUGAUCCCAGAUCACUUCUUAACCACACUUGCACUUGACAUCAGAAACAUCGGGCGAUGGGGCUUGCACCCGGACCCCUUGGGAGAGUCGGUGCGGAGAUUGUGUGUGAUGACACUUUAGUGCAAUACGCAGCAUACCUUGCUCUGUUCUCUCUUCGGAGGAGCGGAUGGUAUCAUUCGAUUCCGAUCAUUCUGGUGGGGA